rnacentral:rRNA from 1 species
UACGGAGGGGGCUAGCGUUGUUCGGAAUUACUGGGCGUAAAGCGCACGUAGGCGGCGAUUUAAGUCAGAGGUGAAAGCCCGGGGCUCAACCCCGGAAUAGCCUUUGAGACUGGAUUGCUAGAAUCUUGGAGAGGCGAGUGGAAUUCCGAGUGUAGAGGUGAAAUUCGUAGAUAUUCGGAAGAACACCAGUGGCGAAGGCGGCUCGCUGGACAAGUAUUGACGCUGAGGUGCGAAAGCUAGGGGAGCGAACGGG